UGUCCUCUCUCUAGUUCUUCAAUUCUUUCUCUCUAAACUCUCUGCAAUCUCUCUCUCUUUGUCUCGGUAUAGGCAUACAACACCACCUUUAAACCACCUCCAUUGAUCAAAACUCAUCCCAAACAUCUUCUCCGCCCUCCCCUCUCCUUCUUUCAUUGGAUUCUGCCCAAAACAGAAGAGGAAACGGGAAGCAACAACCAGCGGAGACCAAAAACGCCACCAUCAGCUAUCCCACUGCCACCAUCAUCCAACCUCCACCUUACUCCCUGUUCCGACGACCCAAUAGCCUCCAAACAGCCCCUUGACCACCCUCAGAAGCCACCUUCUCUCCUUUCUGUCGAUCAGCUGCCAAACGAAGCCAGGAAACGACAGCAGGAGGCUGCCCGAAGCCCACUGCCAUCCCUCGCCACCCACUGCCGAAGGUCCUGCCACCCAUCGACUGUGUUGCUGUGCUGCAUUGUAGAUUAUCUUGGAGUAUCGUGUUCACGUCAAUACAUCUCGGCUUUAUUGCAUCCCUUCUCAAAACAAAUCGAUAAUCACACUUUAAGGUGAGUGUUACGGCCCCUCUUUUGUAUUUACUUAUUUUGGGGGAGAAUACAUGUACUAAUUAUUAUAAAAUUAUACAAAAAUAUUACCACACUAUCUUUCGACUACUUACGGUACAAGGAAUCUGGUUUGAAGGAUCGCAUCGGGUUGUUGGAUUUCAGAAUGACUUAAUUGCUAAAAGUAUUCUGCCCUCCGGUGUUUCAUGUGUGGCUCUCGUCUGUACAUAGUAGUUGCAAAACAUUGUUUGACUCUUAUAUAUCAUAAGUAAACAAUAUCGUUUUAAACUUCAAUAUCUUAGUGUGUUAUGUCGUUAGAAUAAUAAAACCAUUGAAAUAACAUAUGCCUUUUUACUAUGGAGUUUAUAAAAGAAACAUACUUUGUUAUAAUAGUUAGUGCAUUAUACUUUACAUACAUGUCAUUCAUACUCGACUUUUAUAAAGUUGAUACCAUGAAAUUCGUUAUGCGUAGAACUUACCUACAAUUAAGUUAGUGUUGAGAGUUAUUCGCAUACUUUUUAGUUAAGGGUUUUUUAGUGAGAUAUUAUUCAUUAGCCGAGUCUAAACACUUAGCAUACUCACACUACUAUAACUGUUAAUAUUCGAGAUGAGAGACAUAUGCAUAGAUCUAUACGGGGUUGACAUCCCCACUUGCGGUUGCUAGCUACAAUGUCGAUCGAUCAGUCGAAGCAGGUGAUAAGUGUCUACGAUCGUUAUUGCAACGUCCAAUGAAGCAUUGUAGCAGGAUACACCCAGUCACAUAGCUCGGUUAUAGAACUCAAUAAAAACAUUAGCUCGAAUCUUUUUCUCUCUUACUACAACUCAUAAACUUGAUUCUUUCAAAACUAUUUUAAACGUGAAAUUACUUAUACCAAGACAUUGUUUGGAAUUUUCAAAGUUUAUUUAAAUAUGGUUUACGUAUACAACAAAAUACUUUUUUGAAUGCUUUUCAAAGUAUGAUCACUGUUGCUAGCAGAAAACCUGUGACCCUCACCAACCUUGUGUUGACCCUCAAAACUACAUGUAUUCUCAGAGAAUCAGAAAUCACAGAAAUUCAGACAAUGGAUAGUCAGGGAUCUCAGGCAAUUUAGUUUAUUACUUUUUGUUAUGACAGCGUACCUGUUUAACGUAAUUCAUAUAUUGUAUUUGUGUUAUAUAUUCAGCUUAUAUGUGAUCCAUGAACUUAGUCGCACUGCUCGGCAUGUUCCGUUGCCUUGGUCGGGGGUGUGACAUGUAAGCCAUUGGAUUGUGUAUUGUAGAAAUAAAGGGUAAAAUGGGAAAAAGGGUUAUUUUGGA